CAAAAGAAGAGAUAACUAAUAACAUACAUAAUGACAGAAGAAUAUACAAACUCAAUACUGCACAGUGCAAGCGUAUUGUAUGUGGGUAGCUCUGCAGCCUUCUGUCGUUGUGUAGUGAGUGGGCCUCUCUAGUAGCUUCCAGAGCCAUUGAAGUUUCCGUGAUGGUUCUGUGCUUCUCCUCAGGUUGCGUUUGUACGUGGAUGCGAUGAGGAGAAGGGUCUAAUCUGUUUGUGCUUGAUGUCCCCAGCUCUGAAUAUUCUGUGGUACGAAUUCUCCCACCGAGUUGCUACCCUGAGUGCCCUUGUGCUUCAUCUUUUGCCGCCGUUCUCUUGUGAAAUACAAUCCAUGUGACCUGAGAUCAGAGGUGUCACAGCUCUACCGAGAGGAUCUGUAAGAUCUCUACCAUGCUUCCUUGUGGUGUUUGGAACUGGGAUGGCUGUAAAGGCACAAAACAUUCAGGGUGAAUUUCAGGGAAGGGUCUACCAAACACUGGGUGUCUUCACAUCCCUCCAGAUGUUCUUUGUGCCAUUGAUGAGGGAAAGUAAGAGUACGUGAAGGCCUGGGGCAUGGACAGAGUGGGUUUUCUUGUUGGGGCAUGUUCUUGUGGUGGAACAAUGACUGGAUAUUAUUGCAGAUAUCCUCUGCAUGGUCUGGAUUAGGGCCUUUGUUACGUCAGGGAUGAUGUUGUGCACGAUGUGUCUUCCCUGAGGAAAUGGAGAUGUUGUGCAGAACAUGGCCUCUGUAAUUGGUGAAGAACUGGAGAAUAUCUAUUUAGCUGAAUAUAUCAAUCCCCAGGGCUUGUGACAGAUGUGUGCAGUAGGAAACCUUGAGAAGAAGGGGAAGAUGCCCAGGCAGAGAGUUGUUUGUCUAGGGCCUUCUCAGGAUCUCUGAAAGUUCUGCAUACCUUAAAGAGCUGUUUUCCUUUGUGGUGUUACCACUUGUGAAGACAUCAGCCACACAUGCCUUUAAAUACUUGGUUUUGGGUUGGAAUGAUAUCACUCAUAAAGAAACCUUUAAGAAGUUUGUUAGUGCUCGGUGGUUGCUCCCUUUCUGGACUUUUGCCCUCCACCCCAAAUAUCUUGGCUUCCUUCUGGCCCCUGGGUCCAUUGUUUCCAACGGUCUGGACAUGUGCUUUUGGGAACUGGGUGAGUCCACAAAGACUUUGUACUCAGGGCGCGGCUGAUGCUUCAGAAGUUUGAUGGAGCCUUGACAUCUGGGUUUUUGUAGAAGUUCCCUUAGGUCUUUCUCUGGGGCUAAGGAAUAAAAGGAUUGCUUUAUAGAGCAGGCCUUAUCUCCCAGAGGUGAGGUUUGGUGUUGGGGGUGUGAGAUGUCCUGCUUUAGAAUAAAUCACUGGUGAUUUCUAUGAGAGGUGCGACUGCUGUGGAGCAGUGUCUGGGUGUUGUGGCAGUGAUGCUGCUAGUGGCAUUGAUCAGGGCCUGUUCAUGCAUCAUGUGGAGGGCGACUUGCAGAAGAGAAAAGUCUUGCCUGAUGGAAAUGAAGAUGUUGGGUGGAACAUGGUCUGUGUCAUCGGGGAAGAGCUGGGAAAUGACCGCUAAUCAUUUCCCACUGUGUGUCUGUCAUGGUUUUGCUCCUAGACAAGACCUGAGUGCCACAAGGCCACUUGCUCACUCCUUUGCCCUCCCCUUUACCUGUUGGAAUGUAGAGGAGAAAGGGAAAGAAAAAUGUGUAACUCGUGGGUUGGGAUAAAGUCAGUUUAAUAGAACAGCAAAGACAGAGAAAAAUAACAAUAACAAUGAUCAAAAGAUAUACAAAAUUAUUAAUACAGUGUGCAAAUGUGUUGUAAGGGAAUUGCUCCCUUUCUGGACUUUGGCCCUCCACCCCAAAUAUCUUGGCUUCUUUCUGCCCCCUGGGUCCAUUGUUUCCCACGGUCUGAGCAUGUGCUUUUGGGAACCGGGGUUUUGUUCCACCACAAGGCCACUUUCUCACUCCCCCCCUUCCCGUUGCCUGUUGGAAUGUAGAGGAGAAUGGGAAAGAAGAAUGAGAGAAUAGGAAAGAGGAAAGAAGAAUGGGAGAAUGGGAAAGAAGAAACUCGUGGGUUGCGAUAAAGACAGUUUAAUAGAACAGCAAAGAAACAGAAAAAUAACAAUAAUAAUGAUCAAAAAAUAUACAAAAUUAUUAAUACACUGUUCAAAUGCAUUGUAAGUGAGUAGCACUUCAGCUUUCAGUUGUUGUAUAGUGGGUAGGCAUCUCUAGUAGCUUCCAGAGCCAUUGAAGUUGCUGUGAUGGUUCCUUGCUCCUCCUCAGGUGGGGUUUGUAAUUGGAUGUGAGGAGAAGUUGAUCUUAAUCUGUUUGUGCUUGGUGUCCCUUACCUGUGCACUUGCACCACUGGCCUCACUAGACAUGAUGUGUCCCUUUGUCAUGCUUAGCUCGCAUACAUGCUUGAACAGCCCAGAUCCUUCAGUGCAGCCUUGCUUUGGGUUUUCUUUAGUACAAGUUCUCCCACAAAGGUCACAUUGGUAGUGCUGUUGCAUUUCAUCAUUUGCCAUUGUUUUCUUGCAAAACUGAAUCCGUGUGGCCUGAGAUUGGAGCUGUCACAGCUCUACUGACAGGAUCUGUAAGAUUUCUACUGUAAGAAAUCUUUUUGUGCUGUAAAGGCACAAAACAUUAAGGUAAACUUCAGGGAAGAGUCUGCCAGACACUGUGUGUCUUUACAUGCCUCCAGAUGUUCUUUGUGCCAUUGAUGAGGGAAGGUAAGAGUAUGUUAAGGCCUGGGUCAUGGACAGAGUGGGUUUUCUUGUUGGGGUGUGUUCUUGUGGUGGAAGAAUGAGUGGAUAUUAUUGCAGAGAUCCCCUGACUGGUCUUGAUUCGGGCCUGUGUCACGUGAAGGAUGACAUUGAGCAGGGAGGAGUCUUCCCUGAGGAAAUGGAGAUGUACAGAACGUGGACAGUGUAACUGGUGAAGAAGUGGAGAAUAUCUCCUUAGCUGGACGUAUGCUUCAGCAGGGCUUGGGGUGGACAUUUCCAGUAGAAAGCCUUGGGGAAGAUGCCUAGUGCGGAGAGUUGUUUGCCUGCUGUCUUCUCAGGAUCUCUGGGAGUUCUGCAUGUCUCAGAGAGCUGUUUUUCUUUGUGAUUUUACUGCUUGCGAAGACAUCAGCCACAUAUCCCUUUAAUCCCUUGGUUUUAAGGUGGAAUGUUGUCAGUCAAAGACAAAUCUUAAUGAAUAUUUUCACUGCUGCUGAGAUUCUCCGACCCUCUCCUUGGGUACCUUUCUGCUCUUGAUCUUGCUAGGGAAGGAGCAGAAGUGCUCUUUGUACUCAAGUUGCUGGGAAGCCUUGCAUUUCAAUACCGUGUCCUGGAUGCCUUUGCUUUUCUUCUUUAGUCUUAGCAAAAACUCCUACCCCUUUGGGUUUUCCUUCUCUCUGCUUGGCAAUAUCUUGUUAAUACUGGAUGAGCUGCAGAGGUCAGAGUUUUGGCAGCUGUGAGGUUGUAGAGGUUUGGGCGUCUGGCCAUCAUUGUUGGCUUUUCCCCUCUCUGGAGCUGAGGCUGAUGUUGAGAGAAUGUCCUUAGCUUUCAUGGCUGCCUCUUGCUUCCCUUGUGGUAGAAGAUCCUAAGGGAUCACGACACACUGUUCGGUGAUUUCAAAGCUUUUGGAGAAUGACAGUAAUGUCUUUCUGCCCAGUUUCACUAGAAAUCAUGGAUAAUGUUAAGGGAAAAUAUCUCUUGGACCCAAUUUUGCUGUCCUGAAACUGUUCCCUUUUCUGAAGAAGCAGCCAGGGAUACUACAGGAAUCCUGUGAGGUGAUGGCAGAAGGACAGAUGGGAGAGGGACUCCAGUGACUUUCUCGGAGUGGAUACAUUGAGCAUCGCUGGGAUGAUCUCAUCCAAAAUUCCGUGGCUUUCCCGUUGUCUCUUUUGUUUGGCUGAGUGCAGUGUGGCUCCUGCUGAUGGAAGAGAGAAUUAUUCCGUGAGGACUAAUGCUCCCGGGCACCCAGGUUCUGGCUGUGAUGUGCCGGCAGUGCAUGCCUGCCCACAGGAAGAAGCAAGAGCUUGACAUUUGGUGUGCAGGUGGAAGGAACAUGCUCUGCCUCAAGGUUUCUGGAGUUUGGAAGCUGUGGGUACCCCGUGCUUUUUUAUCCUUGCCGGAGGAUUGAUGUGUUGAGCUGUGAUAGGUGUGAUUUCGCAACUGAAAUAUCCCCCAUGUGUUGUCUGGACUUUUUGGAGUGUGUUUUAUUAAACGUCCAAGUGGCUGGUGCUUGGUCUUGUGUUUGUGUUGGUGGUGGGUUUUGUCCAGUGUAGCAGAGCUUUGCCAUGUGAUGGCCUUGCUCUGAUAUUUUCUGUGUCCCUGAGAGGCCUGGAGGCUGAAGAUCUUGGCUUUCUUUCAAAAGGGAAGGAGUGGUGCGGCAGCAGUUUGUCUUGCCUAGACUGGAGGACAGGAGAAAUGUUUUUUCCCUUGCGGGGAGGUGGAAUGCAGUAGGGAAGAAGAAUGAAAGCUCUUGCCCAAGGGCAUGUCCGUGCUUCAUGUCAAACGUGUUACAGACAUGUAAAAUACAUUGGUGGAGGCCGAAAGGAAAGAAGAGACAAGUGUGGAAGCAGAAGUAAAGGGGAAGUAAAAGUUGGGCAGGGUCACAAAAGGAGGGUGAAGGUGAAAAAAAAGAUGAAAGAAAGAGAAAUGGAGAAGAAAAGCAGGGACUGCAAGGAAAAUGCAAACAAGGAAGAAACAAAGAAGGAAGGAAAAGAAAGGAAGGCAGGAAGAGCUGGUAGAGGAGAUUCCGAGCUUCAUUAACAUUCUCUUAUAAAGUGAAUGGAGCUGAGGAUCUCGGCAUCCUCGGCACUCUGGGCCGGUGUGCAAGGCUUGACGGAAAGUGGUGACGAAGAGGAAGGAGGUUUUGUCAAAGGCACACGGCGGGUGUGAUGGGAUCCUAGAGAAAGCGUGGUGGGAAAGCAGCGAAAGCAGAUGUAAAAAUGGAAGAAGGGAAAGAAAAGGGUUGGGGCAGAAGAGGUAAGAGAAGAGAGACAACAGAAAGAAAAUCAAACCCGAACGAAGCAAACGAUGUGGAGAAAGAUGGAGGGAUAAACGAUUUUACUGCAACGGCACGGAAACAGAGAGGUGAGGGACUGGAGAGGUCACGGGAAAAGAAAAAGAGAAAACAAGCAAAGAAACAGAACUUAAAAUAAAAAUGAAAAAGCGAGACAGAAAUGACUAAGAAAGUAAUUACAAAAGGAAGAUGAGAAGGUAGAGAAAGAAAGGAAGAAACGAUAAAGGAAAAGACCAGGGUGCAAAGAGGUUUUCUACAGUCGCUGAAUGGACUUGGUCCUUAAUAGCCUCCCCUUUGUUCAGAGUAUCCGUAAUUAGCGCUGCUGCUCAGUAAUUAGCACCUACGGCUGGGACUUUAACGGUCUCUGCUGCGGCGCCGGAGGGGACUGGGGAGCUGCCAUGGGGGUGAAGAAGAGAGAGGGAUGGAAGGGAAAGGGGAAGCGGAGUGAAGACUCAUGGACGGCAGGGCAAGAAAGGAACUUGAGAAGAAGGAGAAAAGGAAAAGGGAAAGAUAGAAUGCGGUGGGAGAGUAAGGAAGACAAGAGAGUAGACAACGAAAACCUUGCACAAAGAAAAGGAAAAAGAAAGACGGAAAGAAAGAAAUCUAUGGAAGGAAAAGGACGGCGGGGUCGGUGGCAUGGAGCAUGCGAGGCUUUGUAGAAGAAAGAAAGGAUAAAGGAGAUUACUGGGACGCACCGACAUUGCCUCUAUUUGGUGAAAGGAGAUGGUUCCUAACAGCCUCGCUUUAGGUCGGAGUCCAGCGACCCGUAAUUAGCGAUAGUCCUCCGUAAUUCGCUGAUGGCUCUGCCUUUGAUCAUCUCCGCCGGAGGCUACUGGGGAGCUGCCAGCGGGAGAAAGAAGGAUGGAAGGAAAGGGGACUUAAGACUCAUGGAAGGCAGGGCAAGAAGGGAACAGGAAAAGGAUGAGAAAAUAAAAAGGGAAAGAGAGAAUGCGGUGAGAGAGGAAGGAAGACAAGAAAGUAGAAAAGGAAAACGUUGCAACGAGAAAGGGAAAAGGAAAGAAAGGAAUGUAUGGAAGGAAAAGGAGCGGGGCGCAGGUGGCAUGGAGGGUGUGAGGCUUGGGAGAAGAAAGAAAUUAUAAAGGAGAUUACUGGGACGCACCGACAUUACCUCUGUCCAGUGAACGGAGAUGGUCCCUAACUGCCUCGAUUUAGGUCGGAGUCCAGCUACCCGUAAUUAGCGAUGACGCCCAGUAAUUAUCGCUGAUGGCUCUGUCUUUGAUCAUCUCCACAGCGGCGCCGGAGGCGACUGUCGAGCAGUGA